CACUUUUCCUGUAUUAACUAACUUAACACCAACAGCCCAACCUUCACCACCCACCCUUUAAGUGUGGACCGCAGGAAAGCUUAAGGAGCCUGAACCAAAAGUUAACACAGCCAAGAAGGGAAACUCUACUUCUGAGGAUGCCCUUCCAAAUAUGAUGUAUCCAAGAAACGGACAAAGAAUCCAAAGGUGGAAUAUCAAACAAAUGAGUUGGCAAACUACCGGGCCUAGGACGCCGCUGAGAAGGGGCGCAUCCAUCGCGUGCAAGGUGUCCCUGAACGAGGCCUGGAAGGCGCAGGGACCCAGGCUGCACACACAGCCGGACAACCGAGCAGCACUCAACCGCGAGGCCUGAGGCCUUCGGGCAGACCGCGCAGCCCCGGCAGCCGCUGGGCUGACAGUGCGCUGCGCUGCAGGAGACCCGGGGCUCCGGGAGGGCACUGCGGUCGCGCCCCCCGGCCGACCGGCCGGCCGCGGAAGGGUGGUCCGGUGUCCCGGGUGGCGGUGAAGGGCCGAGGCCCGUGAUCGUCGGCGCCUAUGCUGAGCCAGGAGCCCUCCCGGUCUCCUCGGGAUACCGGGUUCCCUCCCCGGGCUCGCCGCUGCGCCCUUCCCGCAGGCUGCACCAGCCCCACAGGCCGCCGUCCGAGUCCCCUCGCACGCCCGCGCACAGCGGGACGCCGUAACCCCUGACCCUGCCAGCACCCCGGCUUACCGGCUCCGCCACCUCCACACACGCCGCGCCGGCGACUCCAUAUCCCAGGAGCCAGCGGCGACCCAGUCAACCUCCUGCCCUCCCGUGAUUGGCCGGCCGGGCGGGAGCCCCGCUUCCCUGAUUGGCUGGACUCCUGCAGCUGUGGGACUGCGUGGCCAGCAGACCGGGAACGGAGGCUCCGCCCAUCCGAGCUGCCUGGGGGCGGGGCCUGAGCGGGGGCGGGGCCGACCCGGAGGCGUGGUUCCGCCGGGCGCGCCACGGUCCUCGCAGUUCAAACCUACGGCAUUUUCAUAUCAGCAACUCCCAUCCCCGGAAUGCUCGUGAGAUAUACAUUUUUGUCAUAGUUCCCGCCACUUCCUUUUAGGCAGCUACACGUCUUUUUCCUCCUAAGAGAUGAUGACUCCGAGAAACAGCUACACUCGAUCCUAAGGCGCCAUGGCAGUCCCUAUUAGCUUUUUGAGCCACUGCACGGUGCCCACUGACGCGCCAAGAACACCCCACGCCUGGGAGGAACCGAGAAACUUCGACCAGUGGAGCCAGUUCGGCUGCACCCGUCGUCCUACUCCCAAGCCUCACAAAACUGCCGGGAGAAAUGUUCAUUAUUUGGUAAGAACGGAGAUAGGAAGAAAGGGUAAACCCUAAAGAUGGAAACUUUAAAAAAAAAAAAAAUGACAGCAAAAGCAAACAGAAAAGCUCCUGGCCGGGGCCGCUGCUCUCCAUACAGUAUGGUCUCCUGAAAGAAGAGAAACUACAAAUUAAUCUUGGCCGCCUCUCCAGCUCAUCCGUGGCGUUGGAGAAAGGCUUCUUA